GGUGGCUCAGUGGUAGAGUGCUUGCCUUGCAUGUAUGAAGCCCUGGGUUCGAUUCCUCAGCACCA
rfam:Dipodomys ordii contig_22701, whole genome shotgun sequence.